rnacentral:rRNA from 1 species
AUCAAUAAGCGGAGGAAAAGAAACUAACAAGGAUUCCCUUAGUAACUGCGAGUGAAGAGGGAAGAGCUCAAAUUUGAAAUCUGACAGUGUUUUGCUGUUCGAGUUGUAAUCUAGAGAAGUGCUGCCCGUGCUGGACCAUGUACAAGUCUCCUGGAAUGGAGCGUCAUAGAGGGUGAGAAUCCCGUCUUUGACAUGGACUGCCAGUGCAUUGUGGUGUGCUCUCAAAGAGUCGAGUUGUUUGGGAAUGCAGCUCUAAAUGGGUGGUAAACUCCAUCUAAAGCUAAAUAUUGGCGAGAGACCGAUWGCGAACAAGUACCGUGAGGGAAAGAUGAAAAGAACUUUGGAAAGAGAGUUAAACAGUAUGUGAAAUUGUUGAAAGGGAAACGCUUAAAGUCAGUCGUGUCGGCCAGGGAUCAACCUAGUUUAUCUUUGCUGGGUGUACUUCCUGAUCUGAUGGGCCAACAUCAGUUUUGACUGCUGGAAAAGGGCAGAGGGAAUGUGGCACCUUUGGGUGUGUUAUAGCUCUCUGUCAUAUGCAGUGGUUGGGACUGAGGAAAGCAGCAUGCCAUAUAGGCCGGGUUUCGACCACGUUCAUGCUGAGGAUGUUGGCAUAAUGGCUUUAAUCGACCCGUCUUGAAACAC